AUGUCCCCAUGGUCAUCCAGGCCAUGGUCACUCCAUAGGGGUGUCCCCUCAGUGUCCUCAGCCGUGGUCACCCCCCAGGUGAUGUCCCAAUGGUGGCCUCGAUGUCCCCUCAGUGAUCCCAGUGGUGGCCUCGAUGUCCCCCAGGUGACAUCCCCCAGGUGGUCCCAAUGGUGGCCUCAGUGUCCCCAGGUGAUCCCAGCCAGGGCCACCCCCCAGGUGUCCCCCAGUCCCCUCCCGGUGUCCCCAGUUUGUCCCUGUCCCUCUUUGCACUUUAUGCUCAGAUGUCCCCUGGCUCUGUCCCCGUGUGCCCAGGGUGGCAGUGAGGGGACAAUGAGGGGACAGCAGGGCCACCCCUGUGCCCUUUGUCCCUUUGUCCUUGUCCCUUCUGGGCCCUCGGUGUCCCCACCCUGUCCAGGGGACACCCAGGGGUGCUGCCACCCGACUGGGGACACCCCAAAGUGGUGGCACCUGAGAAUUUGGGGACACCCCGACUUGGGGACACCCAGAAUUGUCCCCUCGGGCACGGGGGGUGGAGGGACCCGGUCCCGUAUGAAGCCCCUGGGGACACCUUGGGGACAGUCCUGGGACCACCUUGGGGACAUUCCCAGGGACACCUCAGGGACAUUCUGGGGACAUUCCCGGUGCUCCAGAGCCUCUGGACUUGGUGACAUUGGUGUCCCCAGGGUGGUGACAGAGCCUGCAGGGUCCUUGCCCUGUCCCCACCCCUGGGGACGCCUUGGGGACACUCCCAGGGACACUCCCAAGGCCACCUUGGGGACACCUC
rnacentral:lncRNA from 1 species